UGGGGAAUAUUGCACAAUGGGCGCAAGCCUGAUGCAGCCAUGCCGCGUGUAUGAAGAAGGCCUUCGGGUUGUAAAGUACUUUCAGUCGGGAGGAAGGUGGUAAGGUUAAUAACCUUAUCAAUUGACGUUACCGACAGAAGAAGCACCGGCUAACUCCGUGCCAGCAGCCGCGGUAAUACGGAGGGUGCAAGCGUUAAUCGGAAUUACUGGGCGUAAAGCGCACGCAGGCGGUUGAUUGAGUCAGAUGUGAAAUCCCCGGGCUUAACCCGGGAAUUGCAUCUGAUACUGGUCAGCUAGAGUCUUGUAGAGGGGGGUAGAAUUCCAUGUGUGGCGAGGAAAUGCGUAGGGAUGUGGAGGAAUACCGGUGGCGAAGGCGGCCCCCUGGACAAAGACUGACGCUCAGGUGCGAAAGCGUGGGGAGCAAACAAG
rnacentral:rRNA from 1 species